rnacentral:lncRNA from 1 species
GGCAGAAUAGGAAAUGAAUUAUUUGAGCAUGAUGAUAAACAUGACAAAUGAAAUAUUUUGCCAUAUUUGAGAAAGAUAUGACCCAAACAAUUUAUGAGAAUUAUUUGGGAAUUUUAGGAGUGAUGUAAAUAAAGGUUGCUUCACAACCUAGGGCAAUUUGAGUUAUUCCUUUAAUAGAAAAGGAAUAUUCCUGAUAAAAAGAAUAUUGGGAUUUGGGCUAGGAUGAAAAUGACAGGGUCUAGGGAAGGAUUUGGGAAUGGCAAGCCACUCUGGAAACAAAGAAGAGAGCAUCUUCUUCUGUUUCCAGACCACAAAGCCACGGAAAAAGAAAACUCAAGCAAAAACCUCAGAAAAACAAAAGAAAAAGAAAGGGCCAAAAAUCAGGCUGUCACAAACCUUACCCCCUUAAAGAAAUCUCGUCCUCGAGAUUUGGUUGCUCAGGGAACAAGUAUGAAGAUACUGACUUAAGGAAACCGUUUCCAACUCGGGUAUCCUUUUUCUUAUUUUUGCUCCCACUAAAUUUUUAUCUGACUGGCCCUGGGGUGGUUUGCUUUACUAUAUCCAUAUUCUGACAGAUCUUACCUUGCUUGUUCAUGCUUAUACAGGCUCCAAUUUCUUUUUAGAUCUGCUGACUUAGCUGACUGUGAUUGAUUCUCACGACUGAAAUAUAUGUCGGUCUCACAAAUCCAAGAGUGAUUUCCGCUGGGUGUGUCAUCCGGCACUGACAAUCUUUCAUGAAGUGGUGAUCAGAUUUUCCUAGUUGCAUUGGGUUUCUCCACUAAAUGCAGGUCCUUCGGGUUCCAAACAGUGAGUUGGGUCAUAACCGCUUUCCUGACAGAUUCUGGCUUAUCGCGGAAGUUUCUGAAUCAUCUUAACUGGUUCCACUGUCUUGAGUAUCGGAUCCGUACCAAAUAUUUGAUUGUCGCCUGUCGUGGCUAGCAUAAGAGUUUGACCUGUAUGAUAAUAUCUGCAGACUUGACUGAUGGUGGUUCUGCACCACGCGGGUCUUGCAACAAUUUUCAUACCUGCAUCACUGGUCUUGCUCCUUCAUUAUUGUUUUCUUCGUCUGGAUCGUUGGCUGAAAGAGCUGGCUCAUAUUGCUCCUUCGUAUCACCAUAGGUGCUAUCGGUGCAAUUUUUUAGCAAUCGUAGCUUAUCCUCAUUUUUCUGAAAGGGUACCCCAUUAAAUGGCAGGUUCAAUCACCCCUCAAGUUCUGACCGCAGGAAAAUGAUCAUCCGAACCUUUGCAAGAAAUUGGCAAAUAAAUCAGUAGCCACCAAAACGGUCUUUACAACUCAAAUCUGGGACAUUACUGAAAUAAAUCAACCACGGCUCAGGACGGCCAAAAAGCAGCUCAGAACAUGCGACCGGGUUGAUAAGAAGAAGGUGGCAGCUCUAAAAUAGCCAAAAAGCAGCUAUAGGGCUACUGUCACAAAAAGAAACUCAACAGUUGUACGAGGCGGCCGAAAAGCAGCUCAGAACUCGUGACAGUCGUUGAAGAGAGAAAUAAAAAUUGGCAUCCACCCCGGAUAGCUAAAACAGCUUAGAUCACAGGCGUGGUGCCUUCAUUGGAGAAAAAGGGGACAAGGGCUCAUCAGGAUCAUUUUCCAGGUUCAUAGGUACUUGUAUUGAGCUCAUUGAUGUCGUCAAUCCUCAUAAUCCUUUGUCACACUGCGGUGUAUACUGGCUUUCUUCUCUUAACCAUCCUCACGUGGUUGUGAGAUUCUCAUCCGAGUGGCUUGUAAGAUCUUGGUGGUAUGCUCACCGCAUAUAUAUGAGAAUCUGAUUCCCGAGACAGGCGUGUAUUCUGACUGAUUCUUGCUUCUGACCAAAAUGUUGCGGAUCUGAUUCUUGGGAUUCACUGCCAUAUGCUGUCAAUUCACAGCGUACUACCUUGUACCAAUGUCUUACUGAGGAAGAUUGGCUGGCUUGUGCUCGAAACUUUCACCGGACAGCUUGCUGAAAAAGACUGGGUAUCAUGCUUCAGAAGCUUACCCCCUUAAAGACUUUACUGGGGAAAGACUCAGUACCUUAUGCCGGAAGCUUUUGUGGUUGCUUACUAAGGAAGGCAGAGUACCUUGUACGGGAAAUCGUCCAUGUAUCGUACUAAGGAAGAUAGAUGAAUCUUGCCUUGGAAGCUUCUCGGGUAUCUUGCGAGGGAAGAUUGGGUUCCUUACACCAGAAGCUUCUUAUUGUGAUAUGCGGACCGAUUUCCAUAUAUAUAACCAUCUUAAUAUUUUUGUUAUUGAUUUCAUGUAUGAAACGGGGUUUUGCAGGACUAUCCUCCUUUCUGAGUACAUGCCAUAUUUUUGCUUGCUUCCAGGUACAUCGGGUUCCAAAAUCAUCCUCAACAAAAAAUUAAACUUGUAUCUGAGCCAUACCUUUGAUAAUAUUCUGUCAACCUUGCACACAAUUUUAUCUUCUUACUGAUUUGAUCAUUUCUGCUAUGAGGAGUGCACGCUGAGAGAGACUUGACACUCAGUAACAUGAUCAGAUAUCCCCCAAUCUGAAUGCAGUCAGCUGAGAAUUCCAUACUAUUGUGAGAAGUGCACGUUAAUGCAAACUUUAUACUGACAUUCCAUCCAGGAUUUCUUUUGUAUUCAGACGAGCUAUUUCCAAUUUCACUGCAGUCUGCUGACAAUUCCAUUUUGUUUAGCUGAGUUUCCAAAUAUAUGCAUUUCUUGCUGACUCUUCGGGUCCGGUGUCGGCUGACGAACAACUUUAAUAGGGGGAAAAUGUGUAACACCGGAGGCCAAAAGAAAGAAACAAAAGAAACGACUCAAACAAAAGCACACAAGCAUACUACUAAUAUAAUUAAUCCAGCAAUCAUCACAUAUUACUGCUAUUCACACCAUAAUAUGCAUGCACACCUAAGCACCCAAAUCACGCGGAAAUUCCGGUAUUACGGUCUAAUAUGCUGUGGCGGUGUGCUCGAAAAUUAUAUCCAUGUGUGGAAGGAGUUGGCGUAACCGAAGCUACACCAAGCACUGGUUGAACAGUGGCUGGAUCUGGAUGCAUACACAAGUGAGGACGGACUUGACGAUCAAGUAGCAAGACACAAAAGUCACGACCACAUCAUCAUCAAACGUACGAAAGGGAUUCGUACACGUCCAAAGAAUAGAAUGACUGGGUAGGGUAGCGGUGGAAAAAGAAGGCUCGCUGGCAUUGCCCUUUUCUGAUAACCAAGAUCAGUAAGGGUUGCCAGAGGGACGAGAUAGAUGGCAUGAUUCGGAAUAGAAACAAGUCUAUCACCGAAAUAAUAUGGGUGGGUGACAGAAAAAUAUACGCGAUACCUGAGCAUAACUCCUGCAAAUGGUGUCUGGAACUCUGGGUACCAGGGCAUCACUCUGCUGGGACAGAGAUGACGCCGAACACCAAAGAGCAGACAUGCUAAGAAGGAGGGUGCAGGCGGUGGACCGAAAACGAUGCCACCUACACUCACAAGAUUAACCCUUAGUGACAAAAUAAUAAUCUAUAUAUAUGCUAUGCGACAAACAAAUGCAACAAUCAAGUGCAACAAAACAACUGGGGUCUAUACUACCGCUUCUAACAUUCGCGCGGGCUAGGGCAUCCUACAGCCAGACCUGCUCUGAUACCAAGCCUGUGGCACCCCGGCUCAGAGAAAACCGAAACGACCCGUAUUCCAGCCCAGAGAUCGAGGAGAAGUCUUCUGGAAUACGGAACUGCUUAGCAUAGAACAAGCCAGCUCUCUAUUACAACACGAAUAGGAAUACAAGGUCUCCGAUAUUUCAACGAAUAACAUCGGCACGGCGACACUACGCCAACCACGGUUGCUCUAUACAAGCAGCAUAACGACUCGAAGCAGCGGAACAACUACUGGCAGCAGAACAACGAACGGCGAUGAUGGACUCCAAUCCACAGGGACUCUGGCUAGAACGCUUAUCCUAGAUCGCGCACACAGGAACCACACCAAACAAGCAAGCAAUGCAGGCACGACCUGCAAACUGGCAUGACACGCCAGAUCAGUACAUUGAUUGUACUUGCAAGCUCACAAUAACCAGAAGCAUUCAAGACAAACAACAACAUGGCAAUUACAGGUUAAGCAGGAAUUAUCAUGAGAUCAUCAGGAUAGCAUGGCAUGAACAACAUGAACAUAAUAUCGCUAGAACAAUAUGAUCAUGGAAUGAACAUAUAAAUCUGAUGAUACUAGCAUGCAACAUGAUGACACUACAUGCACAAUUUAUUCUGUUCGGGUUACCUCGUAACCAUCACAUGCAUCACUUACCAACCUCGGACAUUACACGAUCAUCUCAGGAUCAAAUCAAGCUUGGUAUAAACAAUACCGUAGUAAUCAUCAAAUGACCACAAGGAGCUUGAUCUUUACCCACGAUUCUCGCACAACAUCACGAAUAUCCAACAACUCUGUAUCCUCGAUACCACGGUGAUCAUUCCGGCGAUCACAACCAUGACCAACACUUGGUCUCAAACGGUGAUCUUUCCGGCGAUCACAACCAACUUAUCUCAUCAUCGAACCGGGGUUGUUAUUAAGCACAUUAUUAUUAUUACUGUUGACUCAUAGUGUGACCAACUACGAACUGGGCCCUUAUCCGCGAGCGCGGCUAUCGAUAGAUUUAUUAUACACUCUGCAGAGGUUAGUACACUGUACCCACACUACGGAACCCAUGGCCUCUCACUCCCAUUCGGGUGGACCAAUGGUGUUCCGACAAAACCGAUCUACUGCCAUGACACUCUCCCGGCCACUCCGACUUACUCCCCACUGGGCUAGUCCUGGGUGGCCCCGUGUCUACCAAAGACACAACGACCACCGUCGUGGCCAAACAUAAACGGUCCCAAAUGGGGACCCGGAUCUACUGCCAUGACACUCUCCCGGCCACUCCGACUUACUCCCCACUAGGCUAGUCCUGGGUGGCUCCGUGUCUACCAAAGACACAACGACCACCGUUGUGGCCAAACAUAAAUGGUCCCAAAUGGGGACCCGGAUCCAUAACAACAACAACGGGCACACAAGGUUAUGUCUGCUUACCGGGCCAGGGUACCGCACGCCCAUAACCUUCCCUUGUUGGAGGCACCAGCGAGAGGCACGACAAUAGACCCAGUUAGGACCUUCCCAUAAAGGUAAGUGUGGUUGCACUGGUCAGUUCGAUAUGGUGGCACCAUGACUCAGCCAAUAGUUGUUCAAGUUCAAUUUAAUCCAGUUAAACUUGAAUGCAAAUAUGCCGAGCCAUGAUAAAAUACAUGAUGCAAUUACAAUGUAUGUGCAUGAUAUCAACAUAAUCAUGAGGGUACAACAUAACUAUCCACCAUAACAACAAUGAAUCAUAUCCAACUGAGCAUAGUAUAAUGACGAGCAUGGAUAUCACAAGUACAACACUACUCAUAGAAACCUAGCAUGACCACUAGCAUCAACAAUAAAUAUCAUGCAAGACAUAUCAACAAUGCUACCAUGCAAUCAUUUAACCAACUGGAUGCAAUGGAACAUGCAUAACGACGGCACUCGGAACAGACGAUAGUCAUGCACCGAAGGCCAUAACCAACAUCAACGCAUACUACUAGCAAGCAUAAAGAUAUGAAAGGAAUACUAGCAACUAGUACAAGAUAACCAGGUGCAAGUCAACAUAGCAAGAAAGUAAGCACUAGCCCAGAAGCAUUACCGAAACAACGAUAACCAUAUUUUAACAAGCAAACAUUUAAUAAAUAUUCAAGUUGAAAACCAUGGCUAUUGCAUGACUAUCAUGCAAGUGGGUAUUGUGGCUUGCCUGGGGGUGAAGAAGGCACUGGGAAGAAGUGCGGUGAAGCCGCGAAAAGAUUUGCCGGAAACAGUUCUCUACCGAAGGGGCUGUUUACGUGCAAGGGAAAAAAGGGCAUUUCCAGAAUAUUAACACAUGGUGAAAGUGUGACCAAUAGAAAGGGCUCGACGAGAUGAAGAAAUGGGCUUUCGAAUCACCUCAUUUGGAGUUACGAGCAAAAAGAUACAUCUGUUUUUUCUGCCAGGGACCCAUCUGUAAAGAAAUAUUUUUCAGCCUGGGCCUAAACAGAAAAACUGAAAGCGCCUACGGCCGAAAUACGUUUUCUUCAAAGGGAAGCAUAUUUUCAGUCACAGUUAACCAAAGUAUGCUUUCUUAACAGGAAAACGUAUUCCAGGGGAUACGUGUCCACUUAUCUGACUAGGUAGAGGACGGGACCGGGCGCGAGGUCGCUGACAUGCGGGUCCCAUGGGCUGUGGGGCCCGUCACUUAUCCAGCUAGGCAGGCGGGGUCAACGCCUACCCGCCGACAGGUGGGGCCGCGUGGAGAUGGGGCCCGCCUGGCCUGGCUCCUUCUUCCUCUCGCUGGCCCGACCGAAGCAGAGGACGGGGCAGGGGAGGGGCGACGCCGGCGAUGGUCCGGGCAGCUCCGGCAGUCUCCGGCCGAGCUCCGGCCAUCGGCUGAUGCGGGAGGCGAAGCCGCACCCAACCAGGGGUCCAUGAGCGUCGGGGAAAGUGCAGAGCGGCGGCGGCUCGUGGAGGCAGAGAACAAGGGGCGGUGGCCGGACUUGAGGAAGCACGGUCACAAGGGCUCCGGCGAGAAGAAGAUGGGGUGGGGAGGAUCUCCGGCGUGUGGGUGAGCCGCUGGUGGAGAAAGGAGUAGGGGAGAGGCUCAGGCUUGCUCGAAUUCGAGUAGAGGCCGUCGGCGGCAUUGGCGGCCAGAGGAGGGCGAGGGGGCGGUUCGAGCUCCGGGAAGUGUCUAGGCGAGGCUAUGGGAGUGAGGCGAGGCUAGUGGUGAGGUCGACCGGCCUGGGGGUGGGCUUAUAUAGCCGCGAGGAGGGGUGUGCCGCGCUGUCGUUGCCGCGGACGCAUGUGCGCGCGCAUGAGCUCGGAGGCAGGCAACGAGAGGGAACAGGAGGGAGAGCUCACGGGGAAGAGACGGCCAAGGGAGCGCAGGGAGGAAGAAGACGGCGAGCUCCUAGCCAAAACCGCCACCGUUCGUCCGUGGGCACGCGGCGGCUUGCGUCGGUGAGGAAGCGGAUGGAGGGGGAGAGGGGUCCAGGAGAACGGCGACGACGAGAGGAAGCUAGGGGGCAUGCCCGUGCUCACUGAGACGCCGAGCAGAGGACGGGCCUGAGCAACAAGACGCUCUGGACGAGGCCAACGCCAACAGAGCGCGCACAUUGCAUGCCAAAACUCGUGAUCACCGCGUGCACUGGUGCACACAGUGGCACACGGCUGGCCAAACGAUGUCUGGGGGUUUGUCCUUCCUGGGGAGGUUGCAACUGAGGUGGUAGUUCGGUUAAAGGUGCUCUGGUUAAACGGUAAGCAACCUCUAAAAUUUACUUCAGUAAACUUGGCCGUGAAACAGUACUCAACCGAGGUGAGAUUAGAGCCAAAUGAGUUGUCUGGGGUGAUUAGCUUAGGAAGAACUACCAUACUGGGGAGCUUGGCAGGACAUGGACCAAGAUUUAAUGCACUUGCUUUGCAACUGCAUAAUCUGGUCCAGAAACUUGAUGAGGAAGGUGCACUCACAUGGAGUGUCAAAUUGAGCUCAAAUUGGGCAAGGCAGAUUCAUUUGGUCCCAUGAAGAUGCUCAAAAAGUCUCAUACCAAUUGGCCAAGCCAAACUGGUACUUGCUUCACAAACAUCUCCUCUGGACAGAAACUUGCAAAAAUUCUAGAGGAAUAAUGGCUUGAUUAACCAUGCCCAAAAUGGGUGGAGGUAGGUUAUAUGGAUAAUAGAAGGCCUAGAAAAAAUUGGUAGCCAUAAUGGAGCAAGAUAAAAUAUACUUGCUUCACAAACUGAAAUUUUGGACAGAAUCAAAGAAUUGAAGAUGAGCUCACAUGGAGGCAUGACAUGAGCUCUACUUUGGUGGAGGGCUAUGAUAUGAUGAUAUGAGGGAUCAUGCAAAAUGGCAACUCAUUUGGAUAUGCCUAGCUUGCACCUCCUUCACAAAGCUUCUUUCUAGAUAGAAACUUUGGAAAAUCAUAAUUAAAUAAUUACUAGGCAAAUAAGGUUGCAUUUUGGCAUGGGGUAAUGAUAUGGACAUGAAAAGGUGUCCAAGGAGUUUGAGGUCAAUUGGGAAAAGGAAAAUAGCACUUGCUUCACAAUGUGCCAUUUAGGGCAAAAUAGGAAAUAAUUUAUUUGAGCAUGAUGAUAAAUAUGAGAAAUGAAAUAUUUUGCCAUAUUCGAGAAAUAUAUGACCCAAACAAUUUAUGAGAAUUAUGUGGGAAUUUUAGGUGAGAUGGAAAUAAAGGUUUCUUCACAACCUAGGGCAAUUUGAGUUAUUCCUUUAAUAGAAAAGGAAUAUUCCCGAUAAAAAUAAUAUUGGGAUUUGGGCUAGGAUGAAAAUGACAGGGUCUAGGGAAGGAUUUGGGAAUGACAAGCCACUCUGGAAACAAAGAAGAGAGCAUCUUCUUCAGUUUCCAGACCACAAAGCCACGGAAAAAGAAA